GGUAUUGUAGCUCAGUGGUAGAGCACUUGCUUUGCACUCCUGAGGCACUGAGUUUGAGCCUCAGCACCA
rnacentral:tRNA from 1 species